rnacentral:rRNA from 1 species
CCUGGUUGAUCCUGCCAGUAAUCAUAUGCUUGUCUCAAAGAUUAAGCCAUGCAUGUCUAAGUACAUGCCGAAAUAAGGCGAAACCGCGAAUGGCUCAUUAAAUCAGUUAUGGUUCCUUAGAUCGUUUCUUCCUACUUGGAUAACUGUGGCAAUUCUAGAGCUAAUAAUGCAGCUGCAGCCUGGAGCCCCCUUGGCGUAACGGCCGUGCUUAUUAAUUAGACCAAGAUCGAUCGCGCCGCUUUCGGCCCCGUAUUCUGUCGGGUGACUCUGGAUAACUUUGUGCUGAUCGCAUGGCCACGAGCCGGCGACGUUUCUUUCAAGUGUCUGCCUUAUCAACUUUCGAUGGUAGGUUACUUGCUUACCAUGGUUGUUACGGGUUAACGGCGAAGCAAUCAGGGCCUUGAUUCCGCCACGGAGAGAGGGAGCCUGAGAAACGGCUACCACAUCCAAGGAAGGCAGCAGGCGCGCAAAUUACCCACGCCCGGCACGGGGAGGUAGUGACGAAAAAUAACAAUACGGGACUCUUUUGAGGCCCCGUAAUUGAAAUGAGUACACUCUAAAUCCUUUAACGAGGAUCAAUUGGAGGGCAAGUCUGGUGCCAGCAGCCGCGGUAAUUCCAGCUCCAAUAGCGUAUACUAAAGCUGCUGCGGCGCUUAAAAAAGCUCGCUAGUUGUUGGAUCUCAGUUCCAGACGAGUAGUGCAUCUACCCGAUGCGACGGCUCGGACUGAACAUCAUGCCGGUUCUUUCUUGGUGCACUUCAUUGUGUGCCUCGAGAUGGCCGGUGGUGCCUUAUUACUUUGAAAAAAUUAGAGUGCUCAACGCAGGCGAGUCGCCUGAAUAAACUUGCAUGGAAUAAUAGAACAAGAGCCACCUCGCUUUCUGCCUUCUGUUGGUUUUUGGAUAAUACGAGGGCCUAAUGCAUUUAAGAGGGACGGCGGGGGCAUGCGUAUUGCGGCGGCGCUAGAGGUGAAAUUCUUGGACCGUCGCAAGACGAACUACUGCGAAAGCAUUUGCCAAGAAUGUUUUCAUUGAUCAAGAACGAAAGUCAGAGGUUCGAAGGCGAUCAGAUACCGCCCUAGUUCUGACCAUAAACGAUGCCAACCAGCGAUCCGCCUGAGUUACUCAAAUGACUCGGCGGGCAGCUUCCGGGAAACCAAAUAAGUUAUUUGGCGUUCCGGGGGAAGCUAUUGGCUUGCAAAAGCCUGAAAAACUUAAAGGAAUUGACGGAAGCGGCCACCACCAGCGAGUGGCAGCACUGCCGGCUUAAUUUGACUCAACACGGGAAAACUUACCCGGCCCGGACACUGGGAGGAUUGACAGAUUGAGAGCUCUUUCUUGAUUCGGUGGAUGGUGGUGCAUGGCCGUUCUUAGUUGGCGCUGCGAGCCCCGAUUUGUCUGCGUAAUUCCGAUAAACGAACGAGACUCUAGCCUAUUAAAUAGCGGCCGGCGCGUUUCCCAGCCACCUAUACAACCGUUCUUAGAGCCGGACAAUCGGCUCCUAGCCGCACGAAACAGAGCAAUAACAGGUCUGUGAUGCCCUUAGAUGCUCGCGCGGCGCACGCCCCGCGCUACACUGAAGCGAAGCAGCCGUGUCUUUAGUCCACUGUCUGAAACAGACUGGCGUAACCCGCGCGGAACUUAUUUCGUGAUUGGGGAUAGGGGCUUGCAAUUGUUCCCCUUGAAUGACGGGAGAUUCCAGCUGAGAGCGCGCAGUCAUAAGCUCGCGUUGAUUACGUCCCUGCCCUUUGUACACACCGCCCGUCGCUACUACCGAUUGAAUGAUUUAGUGAGGUCUUCGGACCGAUGUCCGGCGCGGCACCUUUCGUUGCCGCCGCGUCGGCUCUGUUGGAAAGAUGACCAAACUUGAUCAUUUAGAGGAAGUAAAAGUCGUAACAAGGUUUCCGUAGGUGAACCUGCGGAAG